rnacentral:rRNA from 1 species
GACGAACGCUGGCGGCGUGCCUAAUACAUGCAAGUCGAGCGAAGUGGAGGAAGCUUGCUUCCAAAGCUUAGCGGCGAACGGGUGAGUAACACGUGGGCAACCUGCCUGACAGGCUAGGAUAACUUGGGGAAACUCAAGCUAAUACCGGAUAGGAUCGCGAACUGCAUGGUUUGCGAUGGAAAGUCUGAACGACACUGUCAGAUGGGCCCGCGGCGCAUUAGCUAGUUGGUGGGGUAAUGGCCUACCAAGGCGACGAUGCGUAGCCGACCUGAGAGGGUGACCGGCCACACUGGGACUGAGACACGGCCCAG